UCCUUCUUAAAAGCCAUAUAGUAUUUCCUAUGUGCAAAAUUUAAUGGUCCAGAUUUCUGUGCCUUUUACUCUCUUUUGGCUGCAACCAGCUCGGUGUCUUUUCGGGGAGAAGAGAAAAGUAGGCCUCGGCUCAGACCUCUAACAUUAUGUAAAUGAGGCAAACCUCUCAACCUUGUGGAUUACUGAGUCAGAGAGCAGGACCCUGGUCCACAGAUCCUCCACAUUAGGAUCCCAUAAAAUCUGGAGCUGGUUAGAGGCAUACAACGCUUAAGGGAGCUCACAAUCUGCAUUAAUAUAGUUUAAUCACCCAAAGUUUACUUUUACCUCCAGGAAAGAAGAUGGACCGAGGCAGCGGGAGAACUGAUGCGCCAUGGAGAGACGAGGAAGGCCCUGCUAAGAAAUGGAACCGGCUGAAGUGAAGAACCAGUCAAAACGAGCUUUUUUGGUUCUUCCUCUCUGGAAGGAUGUCGGCUCAGUGUGCGCGGCCAUCCCUGAGGACGCUUGAUGUCAUCUUGUCUACCUGAUCAUUACACUACCUGCUCUCCUCCACAAUGCUGCCCUCUCACUGCUCCUCCACUUGAAAUGCUUGGCUGGCCUCUUCUCUGAAACCAUCAUGAAAUUGUGAGCUAAAACGCCGCAGACUGUUCCUCUCCACUCUCCUCCCUCCAGCCAUGUGUGCAGGAGCCAGGAAAAAAGAUUCCUGCGUUCGGACGACUGCUUCUCAGUCAAAGGGAAAACACACAAAACAUCCUUCGGUCACCUGUCUGUGUUCACCUCUCAAGUGUGUGAGAUUUUUUACAGUAUGGCUAUAUCCAGGUACACCAAAUGGACUCAUUCUUCAUUGUUUGAAUGGCCGAGACUUACAACAAAGAAGGUUCAGUUACUUUGUUUGCCACUAGAUAUGAGAGAGAUGAUUUUCUGUGCUCUUAUAUCCUUGACACUUUAUGAUACAUUUCACAGAACAAAAAAUAAUGUAAUGUUUUCAGACAUUUUUAGAAUAUGAUAGUAUGGAGGAUUAUAACCUUGUGCUGUUAACACACAUGUAUGUUCCAUUAUAAAGUUUAAAUAGUGAAAAGAACCAUAUCUUAUACUUCACAAUUUGUAGCUGUUCAGUACUCAGGUGAAGUCAUUGUACCAGAAAGUGAUUUUUGCUUGUUGCUUUUAAAAGGGGGAGUAGAUUGUUUUACACACAUGUAACACCAGUAAAGCACAUGUGAGGUUUCUAAAAUGAACCAGGACUGGAUUUCAUUGGACUGCUGUCAUUUCCAAGGUCCAGGUUCUGAGCACGCUGUCUCAUUAUCGCACUGUCGUGACUAUUUUUAAUCUAGUUAUUAACUCCAUGUGCUCUUCCUUUUAAUGUCUGAAGGGAAAUGUAUACGCACAAUUUGUAGUGUGGAGUUCAAUGUGGGCACUGAGAUGUAAUGAUAAUCCAAGGGCACUGAUAGUGCAACUUGUUGACUGACUGUCUUUCCUGGCAAAACAAAAAUAUUUAAUUUUUGAUCAUUUAUGAAAAUACUGAUGGACAUUUUCCAGAACUAAACUGUGAGCGACUGUGUCAUCUCAUCUACUCUCUCACACUUGCAGUUACUUGUUAAGUAUGUGUAACCUAAAAUCAUCUGGAUUAUUAUCAAUAUUCUUAUUUUCACGUUUUGAUUGCACAUACAAAAAUGUUUGAAUAUGUACUCUGCAUCUUCUCUGUUCAUGGAAAGCUUCACAGCUUUAGAGUCAGAAAUAAUAACCACUAGCCUGCGACCGAGGUCUCAAACCAUCCGACAAACUUUUAAAUUAUGUUUUUUUUUUCCCCCUAAACCGAUGACUGUGGGUAUUUGUCUGGCAUCACUUACACUUAAAGCUGCUUUAGGAAAACAUCUCUUACUAGGCAGCAUGAGAGGAAGAAAUAAAAACAGCAAGCAUAAGUUAUUGCUGUGUUGAUUCGAGCACCUAAUGAUACAUUUCAAAAUAACUUAAAAAGUUGUGAAUAUCUCCUUUAAUGUAAACAAUAUUUGUAUGGUUCUAUCUUACACCCUGUAAUAUAAAUGACAUUACAUGAUGUGCCUUUAAGAGAUAAAUAAAGGUUCAUUACAACAUUGUGAGAAAACUUUACUAAAGUAAAGUCUAAAUAACUUCACAUAAGACACCUGGUCAUAUGAUUCACUCUUAUUCUCUCACUCGUUGAGUUACUUUUAACAUUAACUUCAGCAUUCUUAAACUCCCUGACUUAAUGUUAUUUUUUUAUAUAUAUAUAUAUAUAUAUAUAUAUUUAUAUUUAUAUUGGAUUUGUUGGUAACACAUAACUAAGAAGCCAUAUUCAUCAUGCAGGAUUGGAAUAUGCUUAUAGUAGCUGCUGCAUUUCCUCAGCGAUCUCUGUCCCAACCAUAGAAUUGAAAGAUUGCAUCUCAUGCCUCCUACCUGUCCUGUAUGUCUCCGCUUUGCUUUGCUGCUGGACAUUUAGAAGCACAGAGCAUUUUACAGAGGGUUGCUAGCCUGAUUUUCUUUCUGGAGUGAACUGAAAUAGCUAAAUAAUUUACAUUGCGAAAUGCAUUUAAAGGCCAAAAAUGUAAUCAAUCCACAUUAUU